AGCGAACGCUGGCGGCAGGCCUAACACAUGCAAGUCGAACGGACCCUUCGGGGUUAGUGGCGGACGGGUGAGUAACACGUGGGAAUCUGCCCUUGGGUUCGGAAUAACAGUUAGAAAUGACUGCUAAUACCGGAUGAUGUCUUCGGACCAAAGAUUUAUCGCCCAAGGAUGAGCCCGCGUAGGAUUAGGUAGUUGGUGGGGUAAUGGCCCACCAAGCCGACGAUCCUUAGCUGGUCUGAGAGGAUGAUCAGCCACACUGGGACUGAGACACGGCCCAGACUCCUACGGGAGGCAGCAGUGGGGAAUAUUGGACAAUGGGCGAAAGCCUGAUCCAGCAAUGCCGCGUGAGUGAUGAAGGCCUUAGGGUUGUAAAGCUCUUUUACCAGGGAUGAUAAUGACAGUACCUGGAGAAUAAGCUCCGGCUAACUCCGUGCCAGCCGCCGCAGUAA
rnacentral:rRNA from 1 species